GGCACAGUAGCUCAGUUGGUUAGAGCACUCGGUUCAUACCCGAGUUGUCGCUGGUUCGAAUCCAGCCUGUGCUA
rnacentral:tRNA from 4 species